rnacentral:lncRNA from 13 species
AAAUAAAAUGGAUUUUUGGGGGGUUUGUAACAUUUGAUUUACACAACAUGCCUUCCACUUUGAAGAUGUGGAGGUCCUGGAUUGGCGUGGUUACACGUGGUCUGCAGUUGUAGGGCCGGUUGGACAUACUUCCAAAUUCUCUAAAACGACCUUGGCAGUGGCUUAUGGCAGAGAAAUGAACAUUACAUUUUCUGGCAACAACUCUGGUGGACAGUCCUGCAGUCAGCAUGCCAAUUGCACGAUCCCUCAAAACUUGAGACAUCUGUGACAUUGUGUUGUGUGACAAAACGGCACAUUUUACAGUGGCUUUUUAUUGUCCCCAGCACAAGGUGUACCUGUGUAAUGAUCAUGCUAUUUAAUCAGCUUAUUGAUAUGCCACACCUGUCAGGUAGAUGGAUUAUCUUGGCGAAGGAGAAUUGCUCACAAACAGGGAUGUAUAAACCAAUAUGACAUCCAUGUAAAUUGUGGGAUCUUUUAUUUCAGCUCAUGAAACCAACACUUUACACGUUGUGUUUAUAUUUUUGUUCAGUAUAGAUUCUAUUUCUAUGACAUGUCCUACUAGUAAUUUAGGAACGAUACUCUGUCUGUUUGUCAUCAUUCCAGGUGUGUGAACUGGCUAUGGUGCUGAAGGGAGUGUUGGAUAUCAUCAGUUUGAAUAUGCAGACCUUCGUCAUGAUCGAUGCAGUUUUUACCCAAAAACUUGAAUCUGAUGUGGGCAUUUAUAUGCUGUCUGCUGAACGAUCGAUGUUCUUCAGGUUGCUGUACCCCUCCUUCGCCCAAGGCUCAGCAAAGCAAUAAAGGAAACUGAUCCGCAGGCGAGAGAUCGACCCUCGCUUUUUAAUUUGCACCGUGUAUUCCAGAGAAUGAACUGGGUUUUUUGUUAAGUUGAACCCCCAUAAUGCUCUGUGGCACAAUCCCAAAACAACUCACUAGGUUCAUUCUCUGAUCCAAAAUUCUAUGAUUGGAUGGACAACAUGUCAGUUUAUACUGCAAAAGUUUUGAUUGGUUGGAGGACGUCCUCCGGAGGUGGUCAUAAUUACCAUGUUUGUCUAUGGAAAGGGGUGAGGCCUUCAAAAGGUUUUGUAUUGAAGUCAAUGUGGCCAGAGGAGGACUGAAGAUAGCUGUCACCCGGCUACACCAUGGUGCUUCCCCAGAUAGUGCUGUUGAAGUUACUGCCGACCUUCAUUGCAAAACAGUAUUUUAAUCAAUUAUUUGGUGACAUAUGAAUAUAUUCAUUACAGUUUCAUCUAAAAAGGAAAACUUUUUUUAAUGCCAAACAUACAUUUUGAUUCAUGAGUGUAUGUAUAUUUACAGAUUCAUUUUGG